UUUUUUUAAGAUAGUGCUCUCACUUUUUUACCAUUGAACUACUUCCAUUUCCAUGGAAAUCAUAAAUGCUAAAACAAACUGGUUAUUUAGUAUUCUUUUCCAUAGAUGUCUAUUUCCACAUAUUUCUUCCGAUAUGAAGUUUUCCUUUCCAGAUCUACUUUUAGGAUUCCACCAAUCCAAACAGGCUUAUCGUCAAACCGAACAGAUUUGUUGACAAUGGGAUUACAAUUAAUCCUUUUGGUAAAUCUCUAAGGCCAGGCUUCAUAGAUUCACUUCAGUAUGCAAAUGUCAACAAUAUUUAGCCUUGAUGCUACUGUUUGUUGGCUCACUCGAAAGCCUUCCAUUCCCACUCAGAAAUUAGUCUUUUGUAAUUAGUUUUUUUUGGGUCACAAAAUAGCUUUUUCCGUAUAUUUCUUUUUGUUGUCCUUAAUUCCACUUGAAACUGAUACUAAUUAUCACAAACCAAAUUCAGCUUGCAAGAUUUUCAGUAGAUUGGAGAUGAUCAGACAACAUUCCCCCAAUUCCUUUAGAAUGUUUUCAUGAACUUGGGUUUGAUAGAUAGCAUGAUUGUGGGCAUGUCUUGCAAUUUUUGCAGCUUUAAUAUAGGUUGCUGAAUUAUAUGCACAUGUCUUUCUGUGCUCCAGUAACAAGUCAGAUCCUUCUCCCAAGGAAGGCGAAUCAUAUGGAUGGAAGAUAAGAUAUGAUGAGGAAUUGAGAAGGGCUCAGCUGCCGUUUGAGGAAAUUACAAAGGUGGAGGCUUUUAAGCUGCGGAGACAGGAAUAAUCAGAUCUGAUGAAGUUGGUGAUGUGGCUGAAAUUGGAAAACGAUAUCAUGAACGAACCAGUGGAGGAUUUAAUGAAGAAAAAAUAAAGAACGAGAAACUGGAAUGCAACAUAAGUGAUGCCCGGACUAUAUCAGAUGGUAACUGAUAUUCCCAUGUGGAAUGAAUUCUUCCUCUGAACAUCUCAUGUUCUUUUCAUGUUUCACUUCAAAAUUUGCUCAGAAGGAGCUCUGCUCAUUAGGUAUUUUGCACACAUCCAGUGACAGGUUUCUCCCACAUGAAGUGACUUCCGGAGUACCGAUCAUCAGUUUCCUGAGCUGAAGUUCUACAUUUUCUUCAUCUGUGCUCAAUAUUGUCUGUUCCAAGAACUAGUUGUUGACAUUCAAGAACAUGAAACUGGAUGUAUCCCAUCUUUUAUUGUUCUAGGCCAUAUCAUCGGAUUUCUGUGAGGAAUUCAAAGAUCUGAACUUUCUUUUAUCGCUCUAAAAUCUCCACGCUUUCUCCACGUUGGGUGUGAUUUUGAAUGGGAGCGAUGACUUAAAAAGGCAGAUCAUGCAUUGACUUACUACCCAUCUUUCCUAGAAGAAAAAUCUUUUUUUUUAGUACUAAUAUUGGUUUAGUUGCCAAUAUUAAUUAAACAAAUUAAAGUUAAUGCUUUAACAUGGAAAAACUAAAGUUUGGCCACAUAUACAUCAUAAAUUCAUAAUAUCAGCAUUUUGAAUUUCAAAUUUGAAAAGUCCAUUUUGAAAUGCACGUUAAGAUUCCCACCCACCAUUUAUUGAUGGCGGAAGAUAUGGGCAUGCCAAGUCUCGGUUAACAUUGGGUGCACA